GGAGCUUGCUCCCGGAUGUUAGCGGCGGACGGGUGAGUAACACGUGGGUAACCUGCCUGUAAGACUGGGAUAACUCCGGGAAACCGGAGCUAAUACCGGAUAGUUCCUUGAACCGCAUGGUUCAAGGAUGAAAGACGGUUUCGGCUGUCACUUACAGAUGGACCCGCGGCGCAUUAGCUAGUUGGUGGGGUAAUGGCUCACCAAGGCGACGAUGCGUAACCGACCUGAGAGGGUGAUCGGCCACACUGGGACUGAGACACGGCCCAGACUCCUACGGGAGGCAGCAGUAGGGAAUCUUCCGCAAUGGACGAAAGUCUGACGGAGCAACGCCGCGUGAGUGAUGAAGGUUUUCGGAUCGUAAAGCUCUGUUGUUAGGGAAGAACAAGUGCGAGAGUAACUGCUCGCACCUUGACGGACCUAACCAGAAAGCCACGGCUAACUACGUGCCAGCAGCCGCGGUAAUACGUAGGUGGCAAGCGUUGUCCGGAAUUAUUGGGCGUAAAGGGCUCGCAGGCGGUUUCUUAAGUCUGAUGUGAAAGCCCCCGGCUCAACCGGGGAGGGUCAUUGGAAACUGGGAAACUUGAGUGCAAAAGAGGAGAGUGGAAUUCCACGUGUAGCGGUGAAAUGCGUAGAGAUGUGGAGGAACACCAGUGGCGAAGGCGACUCUCUGGUCUGUAACUGACGCUGAGGAGCGAAAGCGUGGGGAGCGAACA
rnacentral:rRNA from 1 species